ACUACAAACUACACAAGUAGAAAUAAUUGUUUUAAGAUAUUUCCUCAUGCUUUGCCCAAAAGAGAUGCCGCGUCAAUGCAGUACUUCUUGAAGACAUUCCCUCAGUCGUAACAAUACAACAGAUGUAGCCCGAUCAAAUAUUUAUACUCCUUGUUUGUGACAUAAAGUGGUCAAAAGAGGGGGAUGCUCGCAGGAUUUUUUAUGUUACUCGUCAGCCACUAAAACACGAAUAGGUGAAUAGGGUCAAAAAGUGGAUGCCAACAAGUGAUAUAGUCAACCCAACACAGUUAACAUCCUAAUAAAGGGAACAGACAUACUUCUGAUUAGUGCAAAAGGAAGAUUCAUACAUAUUAUUGCUAUUGCUACACAGAAACGUGGAUAUCUCCUAACUUAAUCCACCAAGGAAAAACAAAAAAGCACUGUUAAUUACCCGAUUUUGAGGACAGUUCAAUCUUGCAGAUCUCCAAGCAAGGAAGAAUCAAUAAACAAAACCAAUGAUAAACCUAAGUAUUCGUGACAUCGGAACUGGAAGCAAUUCACAACUCACAAAAUGAAUGCAGCACAUUAAUUUCUUAAUGGAAGCAGUUACCCAUUGUAUCUUUGGCACAUCAAUCUUAUUGCCAAUGAACAUGAGAAUUCAGUCAACCAUUCCUUUCUCCUCGGUCUCUUUGGAUCUAGUUAGGAACAUCAAAUACUGGUGCCACCGCAAGUACAGGUUUGGUUGCCAUUAGAAGUACAACGAUAAC